GCGGGGGAUAGAUAGCCGACGCGCGGAAUGGGAAUCAUCUCGAGGCGCGUGCUGCCGCUGUGUGGGCAUUUGUGCGUGUGCUGCCCCGGUUUGAGGGCUAGAUCGCGGCAGCCGGUCAAGCGCUACAAGAAGCUCCUCUCUGAUCUCUUUCCCAAGUCCCAGGCCGAGCAACCGAAUGAUAGGAAGAUCUCGAAGCUAACGGACUACGCUGUGAAAAAUCCCUUCCGGAUACCAAAGAUUGCCAAGAACUUGGAGCUUCGAGGCUACAAGGAGCUGCGACACGAGCACUAUGGAUCGGUCAGAGUUAUCAUGCGCACAUUUUUUAAGCUCUUCUCGACUUGCAAAGAUCAAAUGCCUCUACUGGCCGUCAGUGCCUUAAACAUGAUUCAUGUGCUACUGGAGCAACAAAAUGAUGAAAUGCGUGUUCUUGGAUGCGUCACAGUCGUGGAAUUUAUUUACCAACAGGUUGAUACCACGUACAUGCACAACCUGGAUAGUUUUAUACCGAAGUUUUGCGCUCUUGCCCGAGAGACUGGACCCGAGCCGAAGCGAAGUAUCUUACGAGCUGCAGGACUGCAAGCUCUUUCCGCGAUGUUAUGGUUUAUGGGGGAGUUUUCUCACAUGCCCUCCGAUUUUGAUGAGAUCGUGCGUGCUGUUUUGAUGAACUAUGAAGCGACUGUGACCGCAGUAGAAACCGAAGGCGGCGAAAGGGAGCCGGCACAAAAUCUUGUGAAGGGGUUCCUGAAAGGAAGUGUUAUGCGUGAUGCACUGGCGCGAAUGUCCUUCAACAUGGAAAGUAUUCGCAUCAAGUAUCCCAGAAACCUCACCAAAGAAGAAUCUGAAACGCCUAAGGUGUGGUCGCAGAUCUGCGUCCAGAAUAUGGCAUGCUUAGGCAAGGAGACAACAACUAUACGCUGCGUUUUGGACGCUGCCUUCAACUAUUUCGACUCAGAGAAAUCAUGGUCGCUAGAAUCUGGAAUCGCUCUCCCCGUUCUUCGCGAUAUGGUGUUUCUAAUGGAGAAAACAGGUAACGAUCAUCUUGUUCUUGGCGCGCUAGUGAGACACCUAGACCAUAAAAAUGUUGCGAAUGAGCUGCCAGUGAAGACCGAGAUUGUCAGGGUCACAACAGUCCUAGCACGGCAUUCGAAACCCAAGAGCAAGCAUUCGGAAGUCGGUAUCAUCAACGAUCUGUCACGCCAUCUUCGUAGAAGUUUGCAACUCUCUUUGGAAAUGUCUAGUGGUGUCAACAUGGAGCACUUGAACGACUGUCUUCAAGCGAUCGAGCGAUGUUUGAUAGAGCUAGCACGGAGGAUUGGCGAAGCAACUCCUAUCCUGGAACAAAUGGCCGUUAUUCUGGAAAAGCUUUCGUCCAAGAAUACAGUUGCCAGAACGACUAUCGAAGCAGUGGCCGUCCUUGCACAUAUUGUUGUAUCACUUCCAAAUGAAGAUCUGCACAUAAAGGCAUUUCCAGAGGCGUUGCUUUACCAGCUUUUGCGAGCAAUGGUACACCCCGACGUCGAAACUCGUUUGGGUUGCCACCAUAUUUUCUUUGUUUUGUUGAUACCUCCUUCAGGGGGAGAUGCGGUUCUCGUUAAGAGUGACGUGAAAGUUCUAUUCCGGACACCUUCUAGUGCAGCAUCUUCUCUAUUUGAGAAAGUUAUGAAAGACAAGCAAAAGAGCGUCGAAAACAUUGACGAGUUCAAGGACGCUGAAGAAUCUCUCGCCGUGAAGGACACAUCCGUCAAAGAAGUUGAGAUGACGCCAGCCAGGUUAAGCGGAUAUCAAGCAUCGCUACUUCUUUCGAGCUUAUUAAUUCAGGCUACAAUGGCCGACAAUGUGCCCGUCAUCUUUGAGGCGCUUGGCCAUACUUUUAGCUUAACGCUGCUUUUUUCUCGACCCAAGACUUCCAGCAAUAACACUUGCAUACGAGCUUUUCAGCUUGCUCUGACUCUGCGAACUCUUGCUUUAGAUCCCAGCGCUGUGAAAAGCUCGUGCCAGCGCCGGUCGCUGUUCACACUUUCGACUGUCAUGCUUAUCGUUGCUGCCACAAUUUACGAUGUUCCCCAUAUCAUACCCCUUGUCAAGGCUAACCUUACAGCUGAAACGAGGGAUCCGUUCCUGGAAGUUACGGAGGACAACAAGCUUAAGCUUUGUUCCGGUGCGAAUUUUAAGAACUACGGCUCUAUAGAUGAAGAAAGAUCGGCUGCAGCUGCCAUGUCACAGAUUUCCAUUCCGCCCGAUGCUUCAAACGAGACCAUUGCUUCCAUGAUAGUUAAGCUCGCACCACCACACCUAGAGAUGAGUGGACCUGAGCAGUUGCUCCAAAAGUUUACUCCAGACGACACACUUGUUUUGGGCUCGAAGAUACACUUGGAAGCUUUCAACGGUCACAUGGGCAUGGAGUCUAUGUCUUUUGACGAUGUUGUACCCUCGGCUGAUGAGGAUGCUUUGAGUCCAAUGGCUUCUAUUGGUCUUCCUCCACUACUGGCUGAUGUCCCGGUUCCUCCCCCAGCUGCUAUGGGCGUAAAUCAGCUUCUAGAAUCGGCACUGGAAGCUGCCGGCCAAGUCGCCAGCAUCACAACCCCGAACUCUCCGGUUUCUUAUCAUGCUCUUGCAAGCCAGUGCGAGGCCUUCGUUGCGGGAACGAGGAAGAACAUGUCAAUCGUGAUGAGGCUUGAUAGCAAUCUGAAACCGAGCACGCCAUCAGCGGACGCCAAGGGAAAGUGGACGCAGGCUAUCGGCUCCAGGAGCAAGAGCUUGAACGAGAGCCCCGUCUUUAGCCCUCCGUGGUUAACACCAUCGGCUGACGAGACAUGGCCGCUGGUAAAGCUCCCACCCGCGAGCCCCUACGACAAUUUUCUCAAGGCUGCCGGCUGCUAAACUGCGACGGUUUGGUGUAAAUAGCUCGGUUGAGAAUGUUCGAAGGUGCUGCAAGUGUCGGCGUCCUUCAUACUCAAAAGUAUUAAGCAUCUGAUGUCAGAGUGCAUAAGUAAGUGCCUAGAGCCAUCGCAAUCAGCCACUAAGUUGCUUGCAACUGGCGAGAACAUUGCGGGGACACGGUCGCCUAACAAUCCAUCACGCCGUGUGUUGAGAAGAGUUAACAAAGAGAGAAGAAAGCACAAGCAAAACAAAGCACAGAUGUAUGAGAGUUUGUCUCGACGGAGUUUGUUCGCUCUUGAAGAGUUGAAAGCACGCAGCGUUUGGCGGGGAAAGAGCGAACAAAAGGAGGAAGAAAAGUUGGCGAUGGCGAUGGCGACUCUAUCGUCUAGGGAGGUGUUUAAGGCUGGGGAUUAGGUGCUUGGCCAUUUUUUUCUCUCCUCUCCUCCGACUGUAUGGUGAAAGAAUGUGACCCACUGUUUCUAUCUCGCCACCGGCGGUAAAUCUGGAGCGGUAACAAAAAAAAAGUGAGAAAAAUUUGA